CUCCCUCUCUCUCCCUCCUCUUUCCCCUAUUUCCUCGUCCUUCAGCCAUCCCGACCAAGUUGUCUCUCAGAUCCACUGCCUCAUUCUCUCCCUGUGGCGAAACAUCCUUGAUUUCAGGGCACCUCAGGAUCUCUCAGUCCCAGAAAGAUCCAGAACUUCUGGGAAUGUACUCAAUCCGAGUGUGCGGUAUCCCUGUAGAAAACCCGCAUACUUUUCUCAUAGCCCAAAGCCAACAUGGAGAAUGUAAGGGUGUCUGAGUUACAUCGCCGCUGCUAAACUCUCACAGUUUCUCAAGGACAGAAGAAG
rnacentral:lncRNA from 1 species